GAUGAACGCUGGCGGCGUGCCUAAUACAUGCAAGUCGAGCGAACAGACGAGGAUCUUGCUCCUCUCACGUUAGCGACGGACGGGUGAGUAACACGUGGAUAACCUCCCUAUAAGACUGGGAUAACUUCGGGAACCCGGAGCUAAUACCAGAUAAUAUAUUGAACCGCAUGGUGCAAUAGUGAAAGACGGUUUUGCUGUCACUUCUAGAUGGUUCCGCGCCGCAUUAGCUAGUUGGUACGGUAACGGCUUACCAAGGCAACGAUGCGUAGCCGACCUGGGAGGGUGAUCGGCCACACUGGAACUGAGACACGGUCCAGACUCCUACGGGAGGCCGCAGUAGGGAAUCUUCCGCAAUGGGCGAAAGCCUGACGGAGCAACGCCGCGUGAGUGAUGAAGGUCUUCGGAUCGUAAAACUCUGUUAUUAGGGAAGAACAAAUGUGUAAGUAACUAUGCACGUAUUGACGGUACCUAAUCAGAAAGCCACGGCUAACUACGUG
rnacentral:rRNA from 1 species